GACGAACGCUGGCGGCGUGCUUAACACAUGCAAGUCGAACGGAAAGGCCCUGCUUUUGUGGGGUGCUCGAGUGGCGAACGGGUGAGUAACACGUGAGUAACCUGCCCUUGACUUUGGGAUAACUUCAGGAAACUGGGGCUAAUACCGGAUAGGAGCUCCUGCUGCAUGGUGGGGGUUGGAAAGUUUCGGCGGUUGGGGAUGGACUCGCGGCCUAUCAGCUUGUUGGUGGGGUAGUGGCUUACCAAGGCUUGGACGGGUAGCCGGCCUGAGAGGGUGACCGGCCACAGUGGGACUGAGAUGCGGCCCAGACUCCUACGGGAGGCAGCAGUGGGGGAUUGUGCACGAUGGGCGGAGGCCGUAUGCAGCAACGCCGCGUGCGAGAUGACGGCCGUCGGGUUGUAAACCGCUUUCGCCUGUGACGAAGCGUGAGUGACGGUAAUGGGUAAAGAAGCACCGGCUAACUACGUG
rnacentral:rRNA from 1 species